CAAAUCAUCAUGCCCCUUAUGACCUGGGCUACACACGUGCUACAAUGGUUGGUACAACGAGUUGCGAGUCGGUGACGGCGAGCUAAUACUCUUAAAGCCAAUCUCAGUUCGGAUUGUAGGCUGCAACUCGCCUACAUGAAGUCGGAAUCGCUAGUAAUCGCGGAUCAGCACGCCGCGGUGAAUACGGUUCUCGGGGUU
rnacentral:rRNA from 1 species